rnacentral:rRNA from 1 species
GACGAACGCUGGCGGCGUGCCUAAUACAUGCAAGUCGAACGCUGAAGGAGGAGCUUGCUUCUCUGGAUGAGUUGCGAACGGGUGAGUAACGCGUAGGUAACCUGCCUGUUAGCGGGGGAUAACUAUUGGAAACGAUAGCUAAUACCGCAUAAUAGUAGAUGUUGCAUGACAUUUGCUUAAAAGGUUCAAUUGCAUCACUACCAGAUGGACCUGCGUUGUAUUAGCUAGUUGGGGGGGUAACGGCUCACCAAGGCGACGAUACAUAGCCGACCUGAGAGGGUGAUCGGCCACACUGGGACGGAGACACGGCCCAGACUCCUACGGGAGGCAGCAGUAGGGAAUCUUCGGCAAUGGACGGAAGUCUGACCGAGCAACGCCGCGUGAGUGAAGAAGGUGUUCGGAUCGUAAAGCUCUGUUGUAAGAGAAGAACGAGUGUGAGAGUGGAAAGUGCACACUGUGACGGUAUCUUAACAGAAAGGGACGGCUAACUACGU